rnacentral:rRNA from 1 species
UACGGGGGGGGCAAGCGUUGUUCGGAAUUACUGGGCGUAAAGGGCGCGUAGGCGGCCUUCUAAGUCGGACGUGAAAUCCCUCGGCUUAACCGAGGAACUGCGUCCGAUACUGAAAGGCUUGAAUCCGGAAGAGGCGAGUGGAAUUCCCGGUGUAGCGGUGAAAUGCGCAGAUAUCGGGAGGAACACCUAUGGCGAAGGCAGCUCGCUGGGACGUUACUGACGCUGAGACGCGAAAGCGUGGGGAGCAAACAGG